AGUGAACGCUGGCGGUAGGCCUAACACAUGCAAGUCGAACGGCAGCACAGUAAGAGCUUGCUCUUACGGGUGGCGAGUGGCGGACGGGUGAGGAAUACAUCGGAAUCUACUUUUUCGUGGGGAUAACGUAGGGAAACUUACGCUAAUACCGCAUACGACCUACGGGUGAAAGCAGGGGAUCUUCGGACCUUGCGCGAUUGAAUGAGCCGAUGUCGGAUUAGCUAGUUGGCGGGGUAAAGGCCCACCAAGGCGACGAUCCGUAGCUGGUCUGAGAGGAUGAUCAGCCACACUGGAACUGGAACACGGUCCAGACUCCUACGGGAGGCAGCAGUGGGGAAUAUUGGACAAUGGGCGCAAGCCUGAUCCAGCCAUACCGCGUGGGUGAAGAAGGCCUUCGGGUUGUAAAGCCCUAUUGUUGGGAAAGAAAAGCAGCAGGUUAAUACCCCGCUGUUCUGACGGUACCCAAAGAAUAAGCACCGGCUAACUUCGUG
rnacentral:rRNA from 1 species